rnacentral:tmRNA from 1 species
GGGGGCGUAAAGGUUUCGACGGGGACUGUGAACCAUGAUAAGCGAGUAGAGCAGAACAUCUCUUAAAACUGUAUCACGUUUAAAUAUAAACGCUAGAAAAAAUAUUACUGUAAGCACAAGAAACUUACAGGUAGCAGCCUAAGUCUGCUUCCGUCCUCCUUUUGAGUACCACGGCAAAAGCUAGGGCGACGAUUUAGUGGUGAACGUUCUUUCGGAGCGCCUCUUCCGAAAUGAAUGUAUAUGAGGCUACCAAACUCCUCAGCCUGUUUGUCGGCGGAGCAGCAAGGGAAUUUAAAAAGAUAAACUACACUCGUAGAAAGUUGUGCGGAUCGGUUUUCGGACACGAGUUCGACUCUCGUCGCCUCCACCA